rnacentral:rRNA from 1 species
GACGAACGCUGGCGGCGUGCUUAACACAUGCAAGUCGAACGGAAAGGCCCUGCUUUUGUGGGGUGCUCGAAUGGCGAACGGGUGAGUAACACGUGAGUAACCUGCCCUUGACUUUGGGAUAACUUCAGGAAACUGGGGCUAAUACCGGAUAGGAGCUCCUGCUGCAUGGUGGGGGUUGGAAAGUUUCGGCGGUUGGGGAUGGACUCGCGGCUUAUCAGCUUGUUGGUGGGGUAGUGGCUUACCAAGGCUUUGACGGGUAGCCGGCGUGUGAGGGUGACCGGCCACAUUGGGACUGCGAUACGGCCCAGACUCCUACGGGAGGCAGCAGUGGGGAAUAUUGCACAAUGGGCGGAAGCCUGAUGCAGCAACGCCGCGUGCGGGAUGACGGCCUUCGGGUUGUAAACCGCUUUCGCCUGUGACGAAGCGUGAGUGACGGUAAUGGGUAAAGAAGCACCGGCUAACUACGUG